AAACACUUUUAUUCAUUAUAUCGUAACUGUUCCUCACAUCAACCCAUUCAUUUUGAUUCUCUUUUGACAGACAUGGAUUAGGUAAGUUAUAUUUAUUUAUUUGUUUAGCUAUGUAUUCAUUCAUCUAUCCAAGAAACAUCCCCUAAUAUGUCCAUAUUAUUGAGCUGAAUUGUAUGAAGGAUAUCUUCUAAGAGCAUGUAAUCUUGUAGUAUUAGUAUCAAUAAUAUAAUGGCUAUUGAUAAGAUUAUAUUAUAUAAUAUAAUCAAUGUUAAGAAUAUUACAUUUUCAUAUUAACAUAAUAAUAUGGAAAUGUAAAACAUAAAAUUGUAAUACUAAAAAUAGUAUAGCAUAAGAAGUGUUGAGGUGGAAUUUGCUGUGGGAUCACACAAAAGGGAAUGAAAUCGGUUAGGAACUGUGAGAACUGCUUAUGGGGGUAGGACUGUAGCACUGGGUUUGGGACCCAGGGUUGCUCAGGGGUGAGCUGAUGAGGCUAAAAUGUUCUGCAGGAACUGCAAGGGCGCAGGUUUUGAAGUGCCAGGCUCGGCAUGCGUCAUACUGGCUUGGAGGAUGCUUGAAGGGAAGCCAGGGCAUGACCCCCUAGGGCAGCAUGGGAGAAGCAGGAAGCGAGGACGGUCUGGUCCAGAAGCCCUGCGUUGGAGUUUGCUAAAGAGGUCCUCCUGAGCAGCCUGCUUCCCAGGGUCCCCUAAGGAGCCCCUCCACAACCUCGAAGUAAAGGACAUGGUGGGCUGCAGAGACUCUGGCUGUCUCCUCAUGGCUUGCAGCAUCCAUACUGGCACUCACAGCUAGCUCUUUCUCCUUUCUUUUAUCCAGGGCUCUGGAUGAGCUGUGUGUGUUGAAACUGUUUCUCCCUUCAGCAUCAGGUAGGAUAGAAACACAGCUUUUCCUCACAGCAGCUUGCAGACGGCUACGCAGCUGGUGCCACAGAGUCGCACCCUGGUGCACGUUUGAGGAGAAGAUGCAGGGCCGACUCAUGAGGUUCUGUGGAGGAUUUUUUAGUGCUUUCUCUGGACUAAAUUUUACAUUAUGUUGAUAAUGACCCAAAAGAAAGCUAUAGAUAGGAAGACCUUGUAUAGCAAUAGGACUAAUGAUACUACUCAUAAAAUAUUUUAUAAUUCAAAUGCAAUAUGACCAU
rnacentral:lncRNA from 1 species